AGUCUUCAGGGCAGGGUGCAAUUCCCGACCGGCGGUAAAGUCCGCGAGCGCAGCAGCGCAGAAUUGGUUUGAUUCCAAUACCGACAGUAUAGUCUGGAUGAAAGAAGAUG
rnacentral:ncRNA from 1 species